GUGCUUGCUUUACCAGCACAUAUACUAAAAACUGGAAUGAUACAGAGAAGAUAACUAUGGCCCUUGUAUAAGGAUGACAUACAAAUUCAUAAAGUCUUCCAUAUUUUU